rnacentral:lncRNA from 1 species
AGGCAGCUGGAUGGCUCAGUGAAUUGAGAGUCAGGCCCAGAGAUGGGAGGUCCUGGGUUCAAAUAUGGCCUCAGACACUUCCUGCUGUGUGACCCUGGGCAAGUCACUUAACCCCCAUUGCCUACCCUUACUGCUUCUCUGUCUUAGAACCAAUAUUCAAUAUUGAUUCUAAGACAGAAGGUAAGGGUUAAAAAAAUUCUAUUCCUCUGGGAGAACACUAUAUACAAUAAUAGCAAUAUUGGAUGAUGAUUAUCUAUGAAAAUGUGACCACUCUCAGCAAUUCAUUGAUCUGGGACAAUCCUAAAAGACUUAUGACAGGGAAAGCUAUCCACCUCCAGAGAAAGAACUAUUGGAGUUGUCUUUCACAUCAGUAUAUUUUUAGUUUUAUUUGGGGGUUUUGGUUACAUUUGAGUUUUCUCUUACAACAAUGACCAAUAUAUAAGUGUGUUUUUCAUGACAAUAAAAAGGAAAAAAAUAAUACAAAUAAAAAUAAUGUUUUUUCCAUGCACUAAUCCUAAAGGUUUACAAUUCUGUUUUCCCUGAUACUGGUUAAUAAAAAGCAUCGGUUCCCUGUAGCCUUUCCAAAAAUGUGUGGUUGUAUGUUUAGUUUGGGUUUGGAGAUUUUUUAUUUUUUGAGAUCUGCUUGUUUACAUUUGCUAGCACACUCCUGGCACAGUUCCAGCAGUUCAGGAAUAGAAGCAAAUAGUGGGUGUGACCCGGGGUAGAGGACUGGCAUGGUGUGUGGCAUCGGCAAAGAACCAGAGAAAUGAGGCAUUCAGCAAUGGAAGACAGCAGUAAUUCACACUUAAACCGGUUAGCUGUAGGGUCAAGACUGAAGUGAGGCCAGAGAUGGGGAGAGGAGAACAGAAACUAACCCAGUCCAUUACCUUCCUUUCCAGAAAUGAACACAAUUCAUCAGGCGUCCUCUGGAAUGAUGUCUGGUCAUUGGGUCAUCAGUGGAUAGAGUGCCAGGCCUGGAGACAGGAGGUCUUUGGUUCAAAUCUGGCCUCAGAUACCCUAGGCAAUUCACUCAACUCCAAUUAACUAGCCCUGACUGCUCUUCUGCCAUGGAACUAAGACCUAGUGUUGAUGCUACGAUGGAAGGUAAGCGUUUAAAAAAAAAAAGUGAUAAUAUGAUAAUAUGCUGCAAUCUACUUACAUUCAUCGUCCUUGCCAUUUCGGUUCUUAUGAGAGUGUGGUUUCCAUAAUUGCAGUCACAUUGCUCCACCAAAAAUAUAUGGCCACUAAAAAUAGACAUUUUUGUAGUAGCAAGCAGCUUGAGACCAUUAAAAGUAUUGUAUAACUUUAGAAAAUGCAACCCAGUCUGUUUCUCCCACCAAGUUAAUUACAACAGUUCAUUGUCCCUAUGAAUCUCUUGUACAAAAUACCUACAGCCCUAUUCAAUGGGCUAGCUGACCAACUACGAGUCAUUAUCUAGGUGAUAAAUGAUUCUCAUAUACUCUAUUUUUACAGGGUAUG